GUGGGGAAUCUUCCGCAAUGGACGAAAGUCUGACGGAGCAACGCCGCGUGAGUGAUGAAGGUCUUCGGAUUGUAAAACUCUGUUGUCAGGGACGAAUGUGCGAACGUUGAAUAAGCGUGUGUAUUGACGGUACCUGACGAGGAAGCCACGGCUAACUACGUGCCAGCAGCCGCGGUAAUACGUAGGUGGCAAGCGUUGUCCGGAAUUAUUGGGCGUAAAGAGCAUGUAGGCGGGCUUUUAAGUCCGACGUGAAAAUGCGGGGCUUAACCCCGUAUGGCGUUGGAUACUGGAAGUCUUGAGUGCAGGAGAGGAAAGGGGAAUUCCCAGUGUAGCGGUGUAAUGCGUAGAUAUUGGGAGGAACACCAGUGGCGAAGGCGCCUUUCUGGACUGUGUCUGACGCUGAGAUGCGAAAGCCAGGGUAGCAAACGGGAUUAGAUACCCGUGUAGUCC
rnacentral:rRNA from 1 species